rnacentral:pre_miRNA from 1 species
AAUGAGAUAGCUGGGUCAAAUGGUGGUUCCAUUCCAAGCUUUUUAAGGAAUCUACAUAUUGCUUCCCAGAUUGGCUGCACCAAUUUGCAGUCCUACUAGCAAU